AUUUAAAUAGCUUAUAUUUAGAGUUUAAUAUUGAAGAUAUUAAGGAGAUUUUAUAAUCUUUAAAUA
rnacentral:tRNA from 1 species